rnacentral:lncRNA from 1 species
AUGAACAAAGCUAGUGGAGGUGAUGGUAUUCCAGUUGAGCUAUUUCAAAUCCUGAAAGAUGAUGCUGUGAAAGUGCUGCACUCAAUAUGCCAGCAAAUUUGGAAAACUCAGCAGUGGCCACAGGACUGGAAAAGGUCAGUUUUCAUUCCAAUCCCAAAGAAAGGCAAUGCCAAAAAAUGCUCAAACUACCACACAAUUGCACUCAUCUCACACGCUAGUAAAGUAAUGGUCAAAAUUCUCCAAGCCAGGCUUCAGCAAUACGUGAAUCGUGAACUUCCAGAUGUUCACGCUGGUUUUAGAAAAGGCAGCGGAACCAGAGAUCAAAUUGCCAACAUCCGCUGGAUCAUAGAAAAAGCAAGAGAGUUCCAGAAAAACAUCUAUCUCUGCUUUAUUGACUAUGCCAAAGCCUUUGAUUGUGUGGAUCACAAUAAACUGUGGAAAACUCUUCAAGAGAUGGGAAUACCAGACCACCUGACCUGCCUCUUGAGAAAUCUGUAUGCAGGUCAGGAAGCAACAGUUAGAACUGGACAUGGAAAAACAGACUGGUUCCAAAUAGGAAAAGGAGUACGUCAAGGCUGUAUAUUGUCACCCUGCUUAUUUAACUUAUAUGCAGAGUACAUCAUGAGAAAUGCUGGAUUGGAAGAAACACCAGGUGGAAUCAAGAUUUCUGGGAGAAAUAUCAAUAACCUCAGAUAUGCAGAUGACACCACCCCAAUGGCAGAAAGUGAAGACAAACUAAAAAGCCUCUUGAUGAAAGUGAAAGAGGAGAGUGAAAAAGUUGGCUUAAAGCUCAGCAUUCAGAAAACAAAGAUCAUGGCAUCCGGUCCCAUCACUUCAUGGGAAAUAGAUGGGGAAACAGUGGAAACAGUGUCAGACUUUAUUUUGGGGGGCUCCAAAAUCACUGCAGAUGAUGAUUGCAGCCAUGAAAUUAAAAGACACUUACUCCUUGGAAGGAAAGUUAUGACCAACCUAGGUAGCAUAUUCAAAAGCAGAGACAUUACUUUGCCGACUAAGGUCCAUCUAGUCAAGGCUAUGGUUUUUCCAGUAGUCAUGUAUGGUUGUGAGAGUUGGACUGUGAAGAAGGCUGAGCGCCGAGGAAUUGAUGCUUUUGAACUGUGGUGUUGGAGAAGACUUUUGAGAGUCCCUUGGACUGCAAGGAGAUCCACCCAGUCUAUUCUGAAGGAGAUCAACCCUGGAAUUUCUUUGGAAGAAAUGAUGCUAAAGCGGAAACUCCAGGACUUUGGCCACCUCAUGCGAAGAAUUGACUCACUGGAAAACACUCUGAUGCUGGGAGGGAUUGGGGGCAGGAGAAGAAGGGGAUGA